AAGCAGUGAUCCGAAGCCCCAGUGAACGGCGGCCGUAACUAUAACGGUCCUAAGGUAGCGAAAUUCCUUGUCAGGUAAGUUCUGACCCGCACGAAAGGUGUAACGAUUUGGGCGCUGUCUCGGCAGCAGACUCGGUGAAAUCUUAGUACCUGUGAAAAUGCAGGUUACCCGCAACUAGACGGAAAGACCCCAUGGAGCUUUACUGCAGCCUGAUAUUGAAUUCUGGUCAUACAUGUACAGGAUAGGUGGGAGACAAAGAGACGUGCACGCCAGUGUACGAGGAGUCGACGUUGGGAUACCACUCUUGUGUGACCGGGGUUCUAACCUGGUAUCGAGAACAGGUACGGGGAGAGUGUCAGGUGGGCAGUUUGACUGGGGCGGUCGCCUCCCAAAGAGUAACGGAGGCGCCCAAAGGUACGCUCAGAUUGGAUGGAAACCAAUCGACGAGUGCAAUUGCAGAAGCGUGCUUGACUGUGAGACUUACAAGUCGAACAGGGACGAAAGUCGGGAAUAGUGAUCCGGCGGUGCCGAAUGGAAGGGCCGUCGCUCAACGGAUAAAAGCUACCCUGGGGAUAACAGGCUGAUCUCGCCCAAGAGUUCACAUCGACGGCGAGGUUUGGCACCUCGAUGUCGGCUCAUCGCAUCCUGGAGCUGGAUUCGGUUCCAAGGGUUGGGCUGUCCGCCCAUUAAAGCGGUACGCGAGCUGGGUUCAGAACGUCGUGAGACAGUUCGGUCCCUAUCUGUUGUGGGCGAAGGAGAUCUGCGGAGAGCUGUCCUCAGUACGAGAGGACCGGGAUGGACCUACCGCUGGUGCACCGGUUGUUCCGCCAGGGGCAUAGCCGGGUAGCUAAGUAGGGAAAGGAUAAGCGCUGAAAGCAUCUAAGCACGAAGCCUACUCCAAGAUGAGAUCUCCCAUUCGCAAGAAGUAAGACCCCUUAAAGACGAUAAGGUAGAUAGGCCAGGGAUGGAAGUGCAGUGAUGUACGGAGUUGACUGGUACUAAUCGGUCGAGGACUUAAUCAG
rnacentral:rRNA from 1 species